UUGGCCUCCGAAAGUGCUGGGAUUACGGGCGUGAGCCACCGUGCCCGGCCCCUACUGACUUUUAAGACAUACUAACUGCCAACACUGUUGAAGGCCUGUGCCAAGUCCUGUGCUGAGUUGUACAUGUCUGUUUUCAGUUAACCCUCAUCCUAGAAGAUGCUGAUACGCCCAUUGUACAAACAACCUUUGUUACUUCCCUGCAACUAGUGAAACAAUGCAAGAGUUUGGUAGGAAAAAUCAUCUUCCCCAUCCCCUCGUUUUCCUCACCUUACCUCCCCAGGAUGAGUCUGUCAGCACACUCGUGCACAUGCUUACUAACGUGUGCAGGUUUUCAAAAAGAAUUGGGGAAGGGGGCAGCAUUUGCCUUUCAAAACAAAAAGAUCCUACAUUUCUCUUCAAUUUGCUUAUAAUAUACCAUAGAUAUCCUGCAAAUCAGAAGAUACAGAUAUGAUGCAAACAUUUUAACGGCUUCAUGACAAGCCGUCAGACGGAAGGUCUGGGUCUCCCUGUGGUGUGACUGUGCCACAGCUUAGUCACCCAGACCUCUUGUGAUCUGUGGACGUGAACACAGUUUCCAGGUGUUUUAUUGUUCGUGUGUGUGUUUCACCACAAAACAGCGCUACAGUGGAGAUCCUUGUGCCUGUGUACUCAGAUACUUGUUAAUGAAUGAACUAGUGGACAAAUGCCUGGACGGGUCACUAACUGUGUCUCUUCACUGCCUCCUCCUGGACCAUGCCCAGUACGAUUCAGAGGAAAAUGACUCCGAUGUAUGCUUGGAUUGGGAGCCCUGGAGCAAAGGCCCGGCCGAGUUUUGCUGGAAGGGGACACUCCACGGCCAAGAGAAGGAGAGGCCCGGC